rnacentral:rRNA from 1 species
GAUGAACGCUGGCGGCGUGCUUAACACAUGCAAGUCGAACGGAAAGGCCCAAGCUUGCUUGGGUACUCGAGUGGCGAACGGGUGAGUAACACGUGGGUGAUCUGCCCUGCACUUCGGGAUAAGCCUGGGAAACUGGGUCUAAUACCGGAUAGGACGAUGGUUUGGAUGCCAUUGUGGAAAGUUUUUUCGGUGUGGGAUGAGCUCGCGGCCUAUCAGCUUGUUGGUGGGGUAAUGGCCUACCAAGGCGUCGACGGGUAGCCGGCCUGAGAGGGUGUACGGCCACAGUGGGACUGAGAUACGGCCCAGACUCCGACGGGAGGAAGCAGUGGGGAAUAUUGCACAAUGGGCGCAAGCCUGAUGCAGCGACGCCGCGUGGGGGAUGACGGCCUUCGGGUUGUAAACUCCUUUCGCUAGGGACGAAGCGUUUUUGUGACGGUACCUGGAGAAGAAGCACCGGCUAACUACGUG